rnacentral:misc_RNA from 1 species
GAUUUCAAAGUAAGACACAAAGCUGAAAGUUGGGUUUUUAUAGGGGCUGCACCAGAUUUAGCUUUGCCUACUUUCUUUAAAGUCUCCGACGGGUGCUCGGAAUCCGUUCGGAACCUGAUAAAAAUAAAAUAGAUAUGCUACCCUACCAAAGUCGACAUUCCGAACUCAAAAGCGCAGUCAAAAUUUUCAUCAGAGGUCAUCUCGAUAAAAUGUGGGUUCCACUUCCAUUGGCCAUUUUAAGUCAAAAACCACAAAAGAGCUCGGAAAAUAUCAAAAACCUCAAAACCCGAAAG